GCACGAAAUAUCUGCAACUGUUCAGGCAAUUUCUUACGUGAACCAAUCAGAUUGUUUGCUUUUUAUGACGUUUCAAUUUUAUGUGAUGACAUAUACAAAUGUAAAUAAAAAUGGCGGCGACGUUGGUGAAGAGGAUGAUCGGAUGAAAUUUUUUUAUAGAUGAAACGGAAGUUUUUUAGCUUAAUAAUAACAUUUCCUUUAAAAUUAAGGCAUUAAAAAUACUUUCACACGAUGAGAUGACCAUCUCAAUGCAGUUGAUGUACUACCAUAACAGGAACCUGCACAUCAUUUUAGUAUCGGUAUUUCGUAUAAUCCUGUAAGGUUUGUCUGGUGAAGAAGGAAAGAGAUG